AGGGGAGGAUGGGAGAGAGGAGUAACAAAAGUGAAAACAAAAGCUAAAAACUGAAAUCUAUUUGAAAUUGUUUUCACUUUCAAGUUUUUGUUUUCACUUUUGUUACUCCUCCCAAUCCUCCCUUCUCA
rnacentral:miRNA from 1 species